GGUAUAUUUUUGAAUCUUGUGAAAUUUUUUUUGUAAACGGGGAUUAGAUACCCCCCUAUGAAAAAUGUAACUAUUAACCUGGGUAGUACUAGUUAUGUUCUUGAAACCCAAAGAAUUUGGCGGUAUUUUAUUCCUAUUAGAGGAACCUGUCCUAUAAUCGAUAUUCCACGAUGGUAAAUUACUUAUUCUUGUAUUCAUUUUGUAUACCUCCGUCAUCAGAAUAUCUUUUUAGAGUAAAUAUUCUAAAUCUAUUUAGUAUAAUAUGUCAGGUCAAGGUGCAAAUUAUGAAUAAGCAGAGAUGGGUUACAAUAAAUUUAUUUAUACGGAUUAAUAGAAGUAUCAAUAUUAUGAAGGUGGAUUUAACAGUAAAAUUAAUUACUAGUUAUUUUGACUAUGGCUCUAAAAUAUGCACACAUCGCCCGUCGCUCUUAUUUUAAAAUAAGAUAAGUCGUAACAUAGUAGGGGUACCGGAAGGU
rnacentral:rRNA from 1 species